rnacentral:rRNA from 1 species
GAUGAACGCUGGCGGCGUGCCUAAUACGUGCAAGUCGAGCGAACGGACGAGAAGCUUGCUUCUCUGAUGUUAGCGGCGGACGGGUGAGUAACACGUGGAUAACCUACCUAUAAGACUGGGAUAACUUCGGGAAACCGGAGCUAAUACCGGAGGAUAUUUUGAACCGCAGGGUUCAAAAGUGAAAGACGGUCUUGCUGUCACUUAUAGAUGGAUCCGCGCUGCAUUAGCUAGUUGGUAAGGUAACGGCUUACCAAGGCAACGAUGCAUAGCCGACCUGAGAGGGUGAUCGGCCACACUGGAACUGAGACACGGUCCAGACUCCUACGGGAGGCAGCAGUAGGGAAUCUUCCGCAAUGGGCGAAAGCCUGACGGAGCAACGCCGCGUGAGUGAUGAAGGUCUUCGGAUCGUAAAACUCUGUUAUGAGUGAAGAACAUAUGUGUAAGUAACUGUGCACAUCUUGACGGUACCUAAUCAGAAAGCCACGGCUAACUACGUG